GUGAGGAAUUUUCCGCAAUGGGCGAAAGCCUGACGGAGCAAUGCCGCGUGAAGGAUGAAGGCCUAUGGGUUGUAAACUUCUUUUCUCAGAAAAGAAUUAUGACGGUAUCUGAGGAAUAAGCAUCGGCUAACUCUGUGCCAGCAGCCGCGGUAAGACAGAGGAUGCAAGCGUUAUCCGGAAUGAUUGGGCGUAAAGCGUCUGUAGGUUGUUUAAAAAGUAUUCUGUCAAAGAUUAGGGCUUAACCCUAGAUAGGCAGAAUAAACUUUUAAGCUAGAGUGUGGUAGAGGCAGAGGGAAUUCCCGGGGGAGCGGUGAAAUGCGUAGAUAUCGGGGGGAACACCAAAGGCGAAGGCACUCUGCUGGGCCAAUACUAACACUGAGAGACGAAAGCGAGGGGAGCAAAUGGGAUUAGAAACCCUGGUAGUCC
rnacentral:rRNA from 1 species